UAGCAAAGAACAAAGACUAAGUAUGCCACAUCCUGUGGCAACGCCUUCAUGACCAACUUCCUGUUAG
rnacentral:sRNA from 1 species